rnacentral:rRNA from 1 species
CCUACGGGUGGCUGCAGUGGGGAAUAUUGGACAAUGGGCGAAAGCCUGAUCCAGCCAUGCCGCGUGUGUGAAGAAGGCCUUCGGGUUGUAAAGCACUUUCAGUGGGGAAGAAAGCCUUGGGGCUAAUACCCUCGAGGAAGGACAUCACCCACAGAAGAAGCACCGGCUAACUCCGUGCCAGCAGCCGCGGUAAUACGGAGGGUGCGAGCGUUAAUCGGAAUUACUGGGCGUAAAGCGCGCGUAGGGGGUCUGAUAAGCCGGUUGUGAAAGCCCCGGGCUCAACCUGGGAACGGCAUCCGGAACUGUCAGGCUAGAGUGCAGGAGAGGAAGGUAGAAUUCCCGGUGUAGCGGUGAAAUGCGUAGAGAUCGGGAGGAAUACCAGUGGCGAAGGCGGCCUUCUGGACUGACACUGACGCUGAGGUGCGAAAGCGUGGGUAGCAAACAGGAUUAGAUACACCUGUAGUC